CUUCUCGUCUAGACAGAAGACCGUCUCUCUCUUCGGCAGGAUAAAGGCAAGAGGCUCCUGGACGACGCUGACGUUCACACGCCCAAGGUUUCCGUACUUGGAGAGCUGAGUGGCUGGAAUGCCUGACCCAGAUGGUCUGUGCUAUCUGAGCUGGAGGAAAAAGUACUUGGAGACAGCGAUUUAUAUAAGGAACGAGGUCUUCCAGGAAGGCAGUGCAGAACUGGAUGAAAAGCUCCUGCUCCCCACUGCUGAAGACAGCCUCCUCUGCGCGAUGGAAGGCCAGGAUUACCUUAGUUACCUAUGAGACAAGGGCACUGUCAAUCACUGGCUGGUGCAGUUCCCAGUUCCAGUGGAGGAGCGCCAUGAAAUUAUACACAGAAUAGAUUGUUUCUGACUCCCGUGGGAGAUGGAUCAGGAAAAUGAAGCGAAUCUAUAAAAGAUUUCUACUGAGUAAGGUUUUUGAAGUUCCAGAAGGCUAUAACCACUAGAAAAUUGUAAAGGAGGAAUUAAAUAGAGCUGGAAAAGAAGUUCCAUAUACAAGUAAUGGAGCCUAGCUGGCAUUACAGACAGGUGUCAUGGUGAUAGGGUUAAGAACAUAGACUCUAGUGCUGAACAUCUUGGGUUCAAGUCCCAGCUGUGCCACUCACUGGUUCUGUGGCGCCUAGGGAUUAAUUAAGCACUCUAGGCCCUCUGUGCCUGAGUUCUGUCAUCUAUAAAGGAGGGCCAGCAACAGGACCUACCUUAUAGGGUUGUGAACAUUGUCUCAGUAUGUGUAAAGUAUGAUGAACUACAUGGCAUGUAGUAAGUUCUAUAUAAAUAUUAGCUAAUUAUUAUUAUCUGAAUUUCAUUGACCCAAAAAGCUUUACUGCUCAUGCUUUCUUGCUCUUUCUUACAGGAGGACAUCACAGAAAUUUUAUAAAACCACGUCAUAACUGGCACCUGGUUGACAGCAAUUAUAAAAUGUCAUCAGUUAUAAGAAGCAUCCCAGUAUCUAAAUACUUAAAUGUGUAAAAAAUGGGCACCAUAUUAGGAUAUUAGUAGUAUUACUUGUAUUAGGCAGAAUUCUAAGAUGGCUCUUGUGAUGCCCAACCUCUGGCAUCCACCCCUUUGUGUAAUCCCCUCCACUGGAGUGCAGGCACAAUCUGUGGCUCGUUGCUAACCAAUAAAAUAUAGCAAAGGUGUAGGAUUUUGCAAUUUUAAUUAGCAUCCCUAAUCAGCUGACUCUGAAUUAAUCAAAAGGGAGGUUAUCCUGGGUGAGCCUGACUUAAUCAGAUGCGCCUCUUAAAAGAGGGUUAAAGAUUUCCAUAAAAGAGAUUCAGGCAGGAGAGAUACUCUCUCAUUGGCCUUGAAGAAUCAAAAAGCCACACUGAACUGCAUAUGGAGUGGACUGUCUCUGGCAGUUGAGGGCCUCAGUCCUACAACUGUAAGAAACAGAAAUCUGCCACUGUGAAUAAGCUUGAAAGAUGGGGACCCCAAGCUUCAUAUGAAUCCACAGCCUGGCCAACACCCUGACUGCAACCUUGUGGGCAGAGUACCAACCCAGUUACGCUGUGCCUGCACUCCUAACCCACAGAAACUGAGACAUGAUAAAUGCAUGUUAUUUUAAGAUGCUUUGUUUGUGUGAGUUCGUAAUGUAGCAAUAGAAAACUAAUACAUUACUGAAUCAUUACUACAGCUGAGUCACUUCAUGGAUUGUUCUAGGUCCCAUGAAGGAGGACUAAUGAGAGCUUCUCAACCAAAAAACCUCUAAAACCACACUAAACCUCUCCAAGUCAGCAGGCACCACUGUCCCAUGGACUGGUUUAUUACAAAAGUCUGGCCACCUAUUCCUAAAGAAGGCCCUAGUAGAGAGCCAACAGUAUGUGCUUACCUUGGCAAGGGCAUCCUCCAGGGCCCCAGUCACAUCCUGUGCCAGGGCCACAGGGCAGCAGAGGCGCAGAUCAUUGAAAGCGACCAGAAUAUUGUUGAGAAAGCAGGCAAGGGGUGGGAAAUCUAAGAGCACCAUGGGCGGCUGCAGGGUCCCCGGCUGAGUGACUGGCACAGCAGCAGGCAGGUUACUGCUGCCCAGGAUGGCAGGAGCCAAGAUGAGGGUGUAGGAGUUCAUUUCAUCCUGGAACUUCUCGACCGCUUCCUGAAUUGCUUUCUGGAAAGUGCUGAUAGCCACUCUCUGGAAAACAGGAGCCAACUGACCCCGGAAAUCAGCCCCUACCCGGCUGAAGGACAGGCCAAAGUACAUGCACUGACCCAGCAGAGAAUCCAGACGGCCACCUAUCCCCCGGUUAAGGUCGGUCUCCAGCACCUGCAGGAACUGCGAGACUUUCUGUAGCACCCAGCCAUGGAAAAUGGCACUCUCAUUCACAGUGUGGUCACCCAUGGCAGGGGGCAGCAAUGGGUCCUCGUCUGAGAAGAUGGCACGGUACUGGGUGAUGAUAUCAAACAGAUGGACACGGCAGGCUUCAAUGGUUUUUGUGAUGUGGAAAUAGGGAUCAUCACUGGGGAUAGCAGUCAGUAUGGAACGGAGCCAAGCAUCUCGGGCCUGAAGAAACUUCACCCUCAACUCAGCCUCGGUGAAGACAUCCAUUUGCCGUAGGAAGCCAAUGACACGGAGGCAGGCAGGGAGCUGGAUGCUGGUCCUCAGUUGCUGGAUCAGCUGGCUCAGCAUGAGCUGCAUGGACUGGCGCACUUCAUUCACAAUGCCCUGAAGAUACAGGAGGUGAGUCACAUCAUGCUGGGAAAGACAAUCCCUGGAACCCAUUCCACUAACCCUGAAUAUUGCAAACCAACGUUCCCGCUGCUUUCCUGACAUGAAGUAGAUUUCCUAAAAUUGAUGCACAUAGGUUCACCAACAAAGAUUUGGUUCACUGGCCCAUAGGCCCUGCCUGGUUCUCCUGCCCUCACUUGCUUCCUAAUGCUCUCCCCUUGCUCAGGGCAAUCCAGCCAGAACAGCUGUCUUUGUAUUUCUAAACACUCCAACCUCUUCCCUCCUUAGCCCACUGCACUUGUUCUUACCACUUUCUGGUUUGCUCUCUCCCCACAUCUUCACGUCAUCAUCCGGGUCUCAGCUUAAAUGUUCUCUCUCCAGAAGAGCCUUUCCUGACCACUCUACCAGGAGUACCCCCAUUCCCUGGUGUAUUUUAAGAUACUUAACAGUAUCUGAAAGGAUAUUAUGUAUUUAUUUGCCAACUAUCAGCUUAUAUUCACAAGAGCCAGGGCCUUGUCUUUGCUCAGUGUAUCCCCAGUACCUAGAUCAAUGUCUGGCACAAAAUUAAUAUUUAUCAACUGACUGAAUAAAUGAAUGUAUGUUUUAUGAUCAAGCCUGCAUGGCUGGCAGAAACUAGUAUGAAACAUGCAAGGAGUUUCCCUAAGGUUUCUGACUAAAGGUUCAGUGAUGACGACAGAAUUACUGGUAACAAGGACAUCAGUGUGAGUCCUCUCUGGGCACGUUGGCUACCUGGAUGACGGGGAUGGAGGAGUAUUUCCUUUCCAGUCGGUGUACGUAGCCUGCAAGCUCCAGGGCCUCUUCAUAAUAGUUGUUCCGGACACAGGUGUCCAUGAGCUGGGGGAUCUCCAGGAUUUCCAGGAUUUCCGUGUGCCGGUUUAGAGUCAGGGUGUUCAUCCGGCGAUUGGAGCUUAUCUCCUCAGCCUCUUUCACAAAAUUCCUGUAACAAUCAGGAGAACAUUGGUGGUUCACUACUCUGCAUCUAAACCUUAGCUACAGGUACCAAGCAUUUACUACAAACUGGGCAAUGGGCUGGAUGAUUUAUCUGAUUUAAUCUUCACACCAGAUAUAUCUGGUAAGUACUUUUACCCUUAAGGAAACUUCAGUCUCAUCGAAUUUAAGCAACUUGUCCAAGAUCAUACAACUAAUAAAUGAUAAAGAUUUGAACACGGAUCUGCCAUUUAACAAGCUGUGGCAAGGUACUUAGGCUCUCUCUGAGCUGUUUCCUCAUUGGUAAAAUAGUAAAUAGGACCCACCUCAUACAGAUGUGAGGAUUAAAUGAGAUGAUGUGUAUAAAGCAUUUAACACAGAACCUGACACAGACUAAAUGUUCCUUUAAUAAUAGCUAUCUUAUUAUUUUCAGAAUAAUACCCUAACUAGCCUAGAAACUACCACCUUACCCCCAAGUUCCCUCAGCCUCUUAAUCUUCCACUAUGCUCUUGUCCAAACUUAGUUCCUGCUACAGUCUCCAUUUCUUCUCCAUAGCUGUCUAUUCCAGGCGAUUUGAAGCGUGCAAAAGCUAUUGUUAAAUACACAAAGACUCAAAAGAAAAAACUUUUAACAUGAAAGGCCGGAAGGCAGAAUCAGGGAUAAUGGACUGAAGGUCAAGGGAGGCAGAAUGAAGCUCAAAAAGGAUUUUUAAAAAACAAUUUUUACAAAACAAUUUUUACUGCCACCAAUGGGAGGAUUUCCUUGUCAAACUCCUAUCAAUGAAAGUUUGGAGCAGAUGGCCUCUGGUCCGAACUACUAUGUGUACGUGUGUGUUGUGUAUAGUGUGUAUGUUUACAUAAAUGUGUACAUAUAUUAAACUGACAAUUAUGUCAGACCCCCAAAUAA